rnacentral:rRNA from 1 species
CAGUAGCCGCGGGAAUACGUAGGGUGCAAGCGUUAAUCGGAAUUACUGGGCGUAAAGCGUGCGCAGGCGGUGUUGUAAGACUGAUGUGAAAUCCCCGGGCUCAACCUGGGAACUGCAUUGGUGACUGCAACGCUGGAGUGCGGCAGAGGGGGAUGGAAUUCCGCGUGUAGCAGUGAAAUGCGUAGAUAUGCGGAGGAACACCGAUGGCGAAGGCAAUCCCCUGGGCCUGCACUGACGCUCAUGCACGAAAGCGUGGGGAGCAAACAGGAUUAGAUACCCCCGUGUCCCUGUCUCUUAUACA